AAGUCGUAACAAGGUUCCCUUCCGCCGCUCAGCACGGAGACCUUGCAACCCCUAGGGGGAGGCAGCACGACAGUAGAUAAAGCUCGCUGUUUGCAAGUCGGCCAAUCGGCCGGCAACACAAUCGAAUUGACGGGAACCUCCUAAAGCCUGUAACACCAACCGUCCGGGGAAACUCGGGCGGGGCCCUCACGGGGUGGUAAGAGAGUACAGGAUGCAACAAUGGACAAUCCGCAGCGAAGACCCUACCGGCUCCGGCCCACGGGUACCGUUCACAGACUAAGUGAUUGUGGGCGGGGCAAUCGUGCCCUGUCUAAGAUAUAGUCGGACUCUACCCGAAAGGAUAGAGGAUAGCAUGUCCGUAGGUGAACCUGCGGAAGGAUCAUUAAAGAAUGCCCCGUUUUUUGAAAUGGGUUCUAUUCCCAAACCGUGUAUACAUACCUUUGUUGCUUUGGCAGGCCGCUCUCGGGCGUCGGCUCACGCUGACCGCGCCUGCCAGAGGACCCAAACUCGUUUGUUUAGUGAUGUCCGAGUACUAUAUAAUAGUUAAAACUUUCAACAACGGAUCUCUUGGUUCUGGCAUCGAUGAAGAACGCAGCGAAAUGCGAUAAGUAAUGUGAAUUGCAGAAUUCAGUGAAUCAUCGAAUCUUUGAACGCACAUUGCGCCCCUUGGUAUUCCGAGGGGCAUGCCUGUUCGAGCGUCAUUAUGACCACUCAAGCCUAGCUUGGUAUUGGGGUUCGCGGUCUCGCGCCCUUAAAAUCAGUGGCGGUGCCAUCUGGCUCUAAGCGUAGUAAUUUAUCUCGCUAUUGGGUCCGGUAGUGCUUGCCAAUAACCUCCAACUUCUAAGGUUGACCUCGGAUCAGGUAGGGAUACCCGCUGAACUUAAGCAUAUCAAUAAGCGGAGGAAAAGAAACCAACAGGGAUUGCCUCAGUAACGGCGAGUGAAGCGGCAACAGCUCAAAUUUGAAAUCUGGCUCUUUUAGGGUCCGAGUUGUAAUUUGUAGAAGAUGCUUUGAGUGUAGCUCCGGUCUAAGUUCCUUGGAACAGGACGUCAUAGAGGGUGAGAAUCCCGUAUGUGACUGGGUGCUUUCGCUCGUGUAAAGCUCUUUCGACGAGUCGAGUUGUUUGGGAAUGCAGCUCAAAAUGGGUGGUAAAUUUCAUCUAAAGCUAAAUAUUGGCCAGAGACCGAUAGCGCACAAGUAGAGUGAUCGAAAGAUGAAAAGCACUUUGGAAAGAGAGUUAAACAGUACGUGAAAUUGUUGAAAGGGAAGCGCUUGCAACCAGACUUGCGCGCUGUUGAUCAUCCGAGCUUCUGCCCGGUGCACUCGACAGCGUUCAGGCCAGCAUCGGUUUUGGUGGGCGGAUAAAGGCCUUGGGAAUGUAGCUUCUUUCGGGGAGUGUUAUAGCCCUCGGUGCAAUGCGCCCUACCGGGACCGAGGACCGCGCUUCGGCUAGGAUGUUGGCGUAAUGGUUGUAAGCGACC
rnacentral:rRNA from 1 species